GUUUCCCUGCUUUGUUGGCUAUGUCCCAGCUAUUUUGAGCCAACAGUUUUACCUUGGGAACCUGAUCUCCGGCUGUAAUAGCGGUGCCCGUCUUCGGGCGGGAGGUGCUGGACCAGCUGGGAAGGUGCCCACCUGGAGUUUCCAGGAUCAAAUUAGCGGGCAAGCGGCACGGCGGGGAGAAC
rnacentral:other from 1 species